GACGAACGCUGGCGGCGUGCCUAAUACAUGCAAGUCGAGCGAGCUUGCCUAGAUGAUUUUAGUGCUUGCACUAAAUGAAACUAGAUACAAGCGAGCGGCGGACGGGUGAGUAACACGUGGGUAACCUGCCCAAGAGACUGGGAUAACACCUGGAAACAGAUGCUAAUACCGGAUAACAACACUAGACGCAUGUCUAGAGUUUGAAAGAUGGUUCUGCUAUCACUCUUGGAUGGACCUGCGGUGCAUUAGCUAGUUGGUAAGGUAACGGCUUACUAAGGCAAUGAUGCAUAGCCGAGUUGAGAGACUGAUCGGCCACAUUGGGACUGAGACACGGCCCAAACUCCUACGGGAGGCAGCAGUAGGGAAUCUUCCACAAUGGACGAAAGUCUGAUGGAGCAACGCCGCGUGAGUGAAGAAGGGUUUCGGCUCGUAAAGCUCUGUUGGUAGUGAAGAAAGAUAGAGGUAGUAACUGGCCUUUAUUUGACGGUAAUUACUUAGAAAGUCACGGCUAACUACGCGCCAGUAGCCGCGGUAAUACGUAGGUGGCAAGCGUUGUCCGGAUUUAUUGGGCGUAAAGCGAGUGCAGGCGGUUCAAUAAGUCUGAUGUGAAAGCCUUCGGCUCAACCGGAGAAUUGCAUCAGAAGCUGUUGAACUUGAGUGCAGAAGAGGAGAGUGGAACUCCAUGUGUAGCGGUGGAAUGCGUAGAUAUAUGGAAGAACACCAGUGGCGAAGGCGGCUCUCUGGUCUGCAACUGACGCUGAGGCUCGAAAGCAUGGGUAGCGAACAGGAUUAGAUACCCUGGUAGUCCAUGCCGUAAACGAUGAGUGCUAAGUGUUGGGAGGUUUCUGCCUCUCAGUGCUGCAGCUAACGCAUUAAGCACUCCGCCUGGGGAGUACGACCGCAAGGUUGAAACUCAAAGGAAUUGACGGGGGCCCGCACAAGCGGUGGAGCGUGUGGUUUAAUUCGAAGCAACGCGAAGAACCUUACCAGGUCUUGACAUCCAGUGCAAACCUAAGAGAUUAGGUGUUCCCUUCGGGGACGCUGAGACAGGUGGUGCAUGGCUGUCGUCAGCUCGUGUCGUGAGAUGUUGGGUUAAGUCCCGCAACGAGCGCAACCCUUGUCAUUAGUUGCCAUCAUUAAGCUGGGCACUCUAAUGAGACUGCCGGUGACAAACCGGAGGAAGGUGGGGAUGACGUCAAGUCAUCAUGCCCCUUAUGACCUGGGCUACACACGUGCUACAAUGGACGGUACAACGAGAAGCGAACCUGCGAAGGCAAGCGGAUCUCUUAAAGCUGUUCUCAGUUCGGACUGUAGGCUGCAACUCGCCUACACGAAGCUGGAAUCGCUAGUAAUCGCGGAUCAGCACGCCGCGGUGAAUACGUUCCCGGGCCU
rnacentral:rRNA from 1 species